GCGAGCUGAUGCAGCGAUGCCGCGUGAGUGAAGAAGGCCUUUGGGUUGUAAAGCUCUUUUGUCGGGAAAGAUAAUGACUGUACCCGAAGAAUAAGGUCCGGCUAACUUCGUGCCAGCAGCCGCGGUAAUACGAAGGGACCUAGCGUAGUUCGGAAUUACUGGGCGUAAAGAGUAUGUAGGCGGCUAGAUAAGUUAAUUGUGAAAGCCCAAAGCUUAACUUUGGAACUGCAAUUAAAACUAUUUAGCUGGAGUAUGAUAGAGGAAAGCGGAAUACAUAGUGUAGAGGUGAAAUUCGUAGAUAUUAUGUAGAACACCAGUUGCGAAGGCGGCUUUCUGGAUCAUUACUGACGCUGAGAUACGAAAGUAUGGGUAGCGAAGAGGAUUAGAUACCCUCGUAGUCCAUACCAUAAACGAUGAUUAUUAAAUGUGGGGAAUUAUUUCUCUGUAUUAUAGCUAACGCGUUAAAUAAUCCGCCUGGGGAGUACGACCGCAAGGUUAAAACUCAAAUGAAUUGACGGGGACCCGCACAAGCGGUGGAGCAUGUGGUUUAAUUCGAAGCAACGCGC
rnacentral:rRNA from 1 species